rnacentral:rRNA from 1 species
AUUGAACGCUGGCGGCAGGCCUAACACAUGCAAGUCGAGCGAGCGGCGGACGGGUGAGUAAUGUCUGGGAAACUGCCCGAUGGAGGGGGAUAACUACUGGAAACGGUAGCUAAUACCGCAUACCAUCAGAUGUGCCCAGAUGGGAUUAGCUGGUAGGUGGGGUAACGGCUCACACGGGCGACGAUCCCUAUCUGGUCUGAGAGGAUGACCAGCCACACUGGAACUGAGAAACGGUCCAGACUCCUACGGGAGGCAGCGGUGGGGAAUAUGGCACAAUGGGCGCAAGCCUGAUGCAGCCCGGCCGCGUGUAUGAAGAAGGCGUGCGGGUUGUAAAGUACUUUCAGCGGGGAGGCGUUACCCGCAGAAGAAGCACCGGCUAACUCCGUGCCAGCAGCCGCGGUAAUAC